rnacentral:rRNA from 1 species
UAAUACCCGCAGCCCAAGUGGUGAUCGCUAUUAUUGAGCCUAAAGCGUCCGUAGCCGGUCUGAUAAAUCCUUGGGUAAAUCGGGCAGCUUAACUGUCCGAAUUCCGAGGAGACUGUCAGACUAGGGACCGGGAGAGGUCAGAGGUACUCCGGGGGUAGGGGUGAAAUCCUGUAAUCCUCGGGGGACCACCAGUGGCGAAGGCGUCUGACCAGAACGGAUCCGACGGUAAGGGACGAAGCCCUGGGGCGCAAACCGGAUUAGAUGCCCGGGUAGUCCAGGGUGUAAACGCUGCAGGCUUGGUGUCGGGGGUCCUACGAGGGCACUCGGUGCCGGAGAGAAGUUGUUAAGCCUGCCGCUUGGGGAGUACGCUCGCAAGAGUG